rnacentral:tRNA from 1 species
GGCGAGGUAGCUCAGCUGGUAGAGCAGAGGACUGAAAAUCCUUGUGUCGGGGGUUCAAUUCCCCCCCUUGCCA